GCCGCCCCCUUCCCUGCCUGCCACACAGCUGUUUUGCCAACAUUGCUGCCUGAUUAUCUUUCAAGUGGCUUCUUGGAGCAGAUGUUCCGGCUCCUUCCUGCAUCGAAAACAAACAGGCGCUCUGUUGUCGUUUGCUCUCCUGGGGAAAAUCCCUCUGCUGCUGCAGAUUCUUCUUGAGAGGUUCAGGGACUUCUGUGAAGUCUUUCCCAGCUGCUCCUUGCCAGGAAUUUGCCUCCAGAUGGAUGACAGGGGCUCCUCAGGUCUUCCGAGGUCCAAAACCUCUGCAAGUCUGGCGUCUGGGCUUACCUUCAGAAUGUUCCUCCAGUCGGCUGCGUCUCUCCCACUCUGGUGCGGCUGUCCCUCUGCACCAAGCCGCCAGCCUCAUGACCCGGAUGUCCUCAGAAAAUGCCUGCUGCUCCCCCUGCCCUAAGUCAUUCCUUGACACCACUCAAGGAGGAGGUUUUGGAAUACCUGCUUUGUGCUUAGUCUUUUGAUAAGAAUCUGUGAGAUUAUGGGAGAAGGAGAUGCUAUCCUGGGC